rnacentral:lncRNA from 1 species
UAACAACACAAGAUACCACCUUUAUUUGAUUUUGCGAGUAUAAUUAAGUACUCUUGAUUAAUUUACAUUCAUCUAAACCUAAUUAAGGUUUGAUUAGUAUGUAAUUAGUAGAAAUCAUUUAUUGGGAUGCCAAAAAAUAUUGGAUGGCCAUGGGUCAUGUGCAUGUGCAUGUGCAUGUAUAUGAAAUCAUUUCAUGGACUCGAUGAGAUCAUAUAACCUGAUUCAUCAACUAACUUUCAGCUUCAACACAUUAAAAAAUAAAUAA